rnacentral:lncRNA from 10 species
CUAAAUUUAAACGUUUUUCUUCAUUUAUUCCUAAAUGAAGAUAUUCUCCUCAUUUAAGAAACUGCUUAUUUUGACAAAAUCAGGAGAGAUUUUAUGCAUUAUAUUCAUAAAUAAAUCUCUCUAUGUUGAUGAAGAAAAGUUAAAAAUUUUAAAUGACAUCUGUAGCAGCCCUCAGCGCAGUUUCUCAUCCGUGAAAACUCAGAGAAAGAAGAAAAUUCUCAACGCUGACAACCACGACUGAAGACAACCUCGUGUUUCGAUUAAAGGUUUGCAAAAACGUUGCUGACUACAGGGCAGGUGAUGAUUAAUAGAGGAAAACCAAUCCUGGAAACACUGGCUGAUGGAGAGAGCGCCAGAGGAAGGGGAGGAUAGUUAUUCCUCUUUGCCCAUGUGCCUGCUGUCUCAGAGACCCAGAAUCUUCACCAACCAUAAGUCUAAGAGCACGAGAAUGAGGAAUCAUGGCACAAAAGGAUGAGUGCUUGAUUCAACUUCUAUAACCCCUUCAAAACAGCUCUCUACGUGGAAACCUCUAAGACUUUCCUGGGCCCCUGGCAAGGUCUUGAAAACAACAUCUGAGAUGUCAUGGUUUCCCAUCCAAUAACAUUGACUUUGAAGUGGUGACUGAGAUGGGGUUUGGUCAUCAAAGGCACAGCUGAAUGGGCAACCUCCAGAUCUUCCUCAGGGACAGCAGCUGUUGUAACAUGCUCUGCAGGUUAUUCAUUCAUACUUUAAAAUGCAGUCUACAAUACCAGUCUCAGGAAAUGGGCCUGCAACAGCACCAUCUCAGCUAAUGGAGAUCUUCCUGGGCAUGGACUUGAAGAAGCUUGGCAGUGCUUUGCUACUUUUAACAUCAUUUAUUUAACUUUCAGAAAUCCAGUCAAGUGCUCUGGCAGUGUGAAGGCAUUACUGGUAAUCACAGGCGACUAAAUGAUUCUUUCAGCUAAUAUUAAAUAUCUAGUAUGUUUCAUGACAGCACAAUGUAGGUAACACCUUUCUUGGAUCUUUCUUUGACUUCUUACCUAGAAUCUGCAAAGCAAAGGGCUGCUGGAAUCUGUCUCUGGAUAAGUCAUUUUCUACAUCCUAAGAGGUGGUUACAAUCUUUUUUUCCUGGCACACUAACUCCCCAUAACUGAUGGUGUCAAAUGGGCUAUUUUUCUUCAGUAGAUGAAUAACACAACAAUGGGAAGCUAAGGGAGGUGAUGCAAAUUCUUAAAUAAUCAUGCAAAGAAAAUGACACACAGUUACACAGGCGCGCCGGUUUUAAU